rnacentral:rRNA from 1 species
GGGAAUUUUCCGCAAUGGGCGAAAGCCUGACGGAGCAAUACCGCGUGAGGGAUGACGGCCUAUGGGUUGUAAACCUCUUUUUUCAGGGAGGAAUAAAUGACGUGUACCUGAAGAAUAAGCAUCGGCUAACUCCGUGCCAGCAGCCGCGGUAAGACGGAGGAUGCAAGUGUUAUCCGGAAUCACUGGGCGUAAAGCGUCUGUAGGUGGUUUGAUAAGUCAACUGUUAAAUCUUGAGGCUCAACCUCAAAAUGGCAGUCGAAACUAUUAGACUAGAGUAUAGUAGGGGUAAAGGGAAUUUCCAGUGGAGCGGUGAAAUGCGUAGAGAUUGGAAAGAACACCGAUGGCGAAGGCACUUUACUGGGCUAUUACUGACACUCAGAGACGAAAGCUAGGGUAGCAAAUGGGAUUAGAUACCCCAGUAGUCA